rnacentral:rRNA from 1 species
GACGAACCACACAAACGUUAUUCGGAAUUACUGGGCUUAAAGGGUGCGUAGGCGGCGCGGAAAGUUGGGUGUGAAAUCCCUCGGCUCAACCGAGGAACUGCGCCCAAAACUACCGUGCUUGAGGGAGAUAGAGGUGAGCUGAACUUAGGGUGGAGCGGUGAAAUGCGUUGAUAUCAGGAGGAACACCAAUGGCGAAGGCAGCUCGCUGGGACGGUACUGACGCUGAGACGCGAAAGCGUGGGGAGCAAACAGG